GGGGAAUAUUGCACAAUGGGGGAAACCCUGAUGCAGCGACGCCGCGUGAGCGAAGAAGUAUUUCGGUAUGUAAAGCUCUAUCAGCAGGGAAGAUAAUGACGGUACCUGACUAAGAAGCCCCGGCUAACUACGUGCCAGCAGCCGCGGUAAUACGUAGGGAGCGAGCGUUGUCCGGAAUUACUGGGUGUAAAGGGAGCGUAGGCGGGACAGCAAGUUGAAUGUGAAAUCUAUGGGCUCAACCCAUAAACUGCGUUCAAAACUGUUGUUCUUGAGUGAAGUAGAGGUAGGCGGAAUUCCUAGUGUAGCGGUGAAAUGCGUAGAUAUUAGGAGGAACACCAGUGGCGAAGGCGGCCUACUGGGCUUUAACUGACGUUGAGGCGCGAAAGCGUGGGGAGCAAACAGGAUUAGAUACCCUGGUAGUCCACGCCGUAAACGAUGGAUACUAGGUGUGGGGGGUCUGACCCCCUCCGUGCCGCAGUUAACACAAUAAGUAUCCCACCUGGGGAGUACGAUCGCAAGGUUGAAACUCAAAGGAAUUGACGGGGGCCCGCACAAGCGGUGGAGUAUGUGGUUUAAUUCGAAGCAACGCGAAGAACCUUACCAGGGCUUGACAUCCCACUAACGAAGCAGAGAUGCAUUAGGUGCCCUUCGGGGAAAGUGGAGACAGGUGGUGCAUGGUUGUCGUCAGCUCGUGUCGUGAGAUGUUGGGUUAAGUCCCGCAACGAGCGCAACCCUUACCUUUAGUUGCUACGCAAGAGCACUCUAGAGGGACUGCCGUUGACAAAACGGAGGAAGGUGGGGAUGACGUCAAAUCAUCAUGCCCCUUAUGACCUGGGCUACACACGUACUACAAUGGCAAUUAACAGAGGGAAGCAAAACAGCGAUGUGGAGCAAAUCCCGAAAAAUUGUCUCAGUUCAGAUUGCAGGCUGCAACUCGCCUGCAUGAAGUCGGAAUUGCUAGUAAUCGCAGAUCAGAAUGCUGCGGUGAAUACGUUCCCG
rnacentral:rRNA from 1 species